CGGCCGCGGGGCCUCAGGGUCGGGGAGUGUGGGACCCAUCCGCCGCCAUCCGCCGCCAUCCGCCCUCCCCUGGGCUCUCUCGCCGCACUGCCCACCCCCCCCCCCCCCCCGCAUCGGCAUCCUGCGUUGCCCCCCGCGGGCCGCCCCGCCGGGCGGCGCUCCGAUGUGCCGGGAAGGGCCUUGCUCCCUCCGCCGGGCCGGGCCCGCCGCGGCACCUUGGCACGGCGGUGAGCCCGGUGCGGGGGACGGCUGAUGGCGGCCUCGGCUUGGGAGCACCGGGAAGGGUUGCUUGGUGUUUCAGAGCUUGCUCAGCUGAUGCCCUGCCUGCCGAAUAGACCCGAGGAAUUAUUCCCUUACUGGAAAAAGCAAAGAACUUAAAAGAGUCCCAGUUGCCCGUGGAAGGAUUUGGUUUGCUCUCCUUAGGGCCCAAGUCAUGGGGGAGGCCGUGACACGGAGCCCAUGAGCACCCUUUGUGGGUAAUUGCCAAGCAUUCAGUCUUUCGAGUUGGGGUCUCCAGUCCUGGAGGACAAAGGACAGUUUGGGCUUACUGUGCCUGUGCUAGAAGUGGCCGGACCUAUCAUCUAGCCUGUGCAGGGCUUUGCAGGUCUAAAGAGAACGUGGAGCUGAUGUGAGCCAAUCCCUGAGGAUUUUGGUGCUGCAGUGCAAGACUUUGUGCAUUUCCAGCUCUUUCCUCCCGAAGCAGGAGCUCUUUGUAGCUGGAUCCUGGCUCCUUCCCGAGGCGUGAGCUCCCCUGGGUGGGAGCAGCCGCUCCUGUGCUCUGCUCACCCGCGCCACAGGGAGCAGGAGCUUGUCUGGCUCCAGGUGCUGCUCAAGCUCCUGUUUGAACACUGUGUGGAAGAACAGCCCCUUCUGUGGAGCGUUCUCAGGGAAAAAGUUUUUUUUGGGGGGGGGGG